rnacentral:rRNA from 1 species
AGAGUUUGAUCCUGGCUCAGGAUGAACGCUGACAGAAUGCUUAACACAUGCAAGUCUACUUGAUUUAUGGUUUCGGCCGUAAUGAUGGUGGCGGACGGGUGAGUAACGCGUAAAGAAUCUGCCCUUUAGUCUGGGAUAACAGUUGGAAACGACUGCUAAUACCGGAUAUUAUGGAAUCAUCGCAUGAUGAAAUCAUGAAAGCUAUAUGCGCUAGAGGAGGACUUUGCGUCCCAUUAGCUAGUUGGUGAGGUAACGGCUCACCAAGGCGACGAUGGGUAGCCGGCCUGAGAGGGUGAUCGGCCACAAGGGAACUGAGACACGGUCCUUACUCCUACGGGAGGCAGCAGCGGGGAAUAUUGGACAAUGGGCCACAAGCCUGAUCCAGCAAUUCUGUGUGCACGAUGAAGGUCUUCGGAUUGUAAAGUGCUUUCAGUAGGGAAGAAUAAAUGACGUACUACAGAAGAAGCGACGCUAAAUAUGUGCCAGCAGCCGCGUAAUACAUAUGUCGCAAGCGUAUCCGGAUUAUUGGGCGUAAAGCGCGUCUAGGCGGUUUACUAAGUCUGAUGUGAAAAUGCGGGGCUCAACUCCGUAUUGCGUUGGAAACUGGUAGACUAGAGUACUGGAGAGGUGGGCGGAACUACAAGUGUAGAGGUGGAAUUCGUAGAUAUUUGUAGGAAUGCCGAUGGAGAAGUCAGCUCACUGGACAGAUACUGACGCUAAAGCGCGAAAGCGUGGGGAGCAAACAGGAUUAGAUACCCUGUAGUCCACGCCGUAAACGAUGAUCACUAGUGUUGGGAGUCAAAUCUCAGCGCCCAAGCUAACGCGAUAAGUGAUCCGCCUGGGGAGUACGUACGCAAGUAUGAAACUCAAGGAAUUGACGGGGGCCCGCACAGCGGAGGACAUGUGGUUUAUUCGAUGAUACGCGAGGAACCUUACCCGGGCUUAAAUUGCAAUGAUAUAGUUGAAAGAUAUAGCCGCAAGCAUUUGUGAGUGCUGCAUGUGUCGUCAGCUCGUGCCGUGAGGUGUCGGCUUAAGUGCCAUAACGAGCGCAACCCUUAUCUUUAGUUACUAACAGGUCAUGCUGAGGACUCUAGAGAGACUGCCGUCGUAAGAUGUGAGGAAGGUGGGGAUGACGUCAAAUCAGCACGGCCCUUACGUCCGGGGCUACACACGUGUUACAAUGGGAGGUACAACAGGCAGCUACACGGCGACGUGAUGCUAAUCCCCAAAACCUCUCUCAGUUCGGAUUGGAGUCUGCAACCCGACUCCAUGAAGCUGGAUUCGCUAGUAAUCGCGCAUCAGCCACGGCGCGGUGAAUACGUUCCCGGGCCUUGUACACACCGCCCGUCAAGCCAUGAAAGCCGGGGGUACCUGAAGUACGUAACCGUAAGGAGCGUCCUAGGGUAAAACUGGUAAUUGGGGCUAAGUCGUAACAAGGUAACC